UACGUAGGGGGCAAGCGUUGUCCGGAAUCAUUGGGCGUAAAGCGCGCGUAGGCGGCCCGAUAAGUCCGCUGUAAAAGUCAACGGCUCAACUGUUGAAAGCCGGUGGAUACUGUCGGGCUAGAGUACGGAAGAGGCAAGUGGAAUUCCUGGUGUAGCGGUGGAAUGCGCAGAUAUCAGGAAGAACACCCGUGGCUAAGGCGGCUCCCUAGUACGGUACUGACGCUGAGACGCGAAAGCGUGGGGAGCGAACAGG
rnacentral:rRNA from 1 species